rnacentral:sRNA from 1 species
AGAGCCGAGCGGGCUGCGCGGAGGCUGCGGAGCCGGCGGCCGCGGGAGCUGACCCUGCGGGGUCCCGGGGGGGGAGGGGGAGCCGCGAAGCCCCCACUGAGGCCGCCGCUACCGGGCCUCCCCUCCCCCCCGGGCGGGCGCCAUGCGGGGGAGCCCGGGCGACGCGGAGCGGCGGCAGCGCUGGGGUCGCCUGUUCGAGGAGCUGGACAGUAACAAGGAUGGCCGCGUGGACGUGCACGAGUUGCGCCAGGGGCUGGCCAGGCUGGGCGGGGGCAACCCAGACCCUGGCGCCCAACAGGGUAUCUCCUCUGAGGGUGAUGCUGACCCAGAUGGCGGGCUCGACCUGGAGGAAUUUUCCCGCUAUCUGCAGGAGCGAGAACAGCGUCUGCUGCUCAUGUUUCACAGUCUUGACCGGAACCAGGAUGGUCACAUUGAUGUCUCUGAGAUCCAACAGAGUUUCCGAGCUCUGGGCAUUUCCAUCUCGCUGGAGCAGGCUGAGAAAAUUUUGCACAGCAUGGACCGAGACGGCACAAUGACCAUUGACUGGCAAGAAUGGCGCGACCACUUCCUGUUGCAUUCGCUGGAAAAUGUGGAGGACGUGCUGUAUUUCUGGAAGCAUUCCACGGUGAGGUGGGGGUGGCUUUCCCCGGCUGAAGGCUGUGCCCUCUUCCCCAGGGGGGCCUUGCUCCGAUCUCCCCAGGGCUUGGAUGGGCUGGGCCAGGACUUUCCAGAAGGAGAAGGC